rnacentral:rRNA from 1 species
AGUAGUUUGAUCAGUGGCUACGAGGACGAACGCUGGCGGCGUGCUUAACACAUGCAAGUCGAACGGUGACCCAGGGCUUGCCCUGGUGAUCAGUGGCGAACGGGUGAGUAACACGUGGGCAACCUGCCCCUGACUUCGGGAUAACUCCUCGAAAGAGGAGCUAAUACCGGAUACGACCACUUCGGACAUCCGAUGGUGGUGGAAAGUUCUUCGGUCAGGGAUGGGCCCGCGGCCUAUCAGCUAGUUGGUGGGGUAAUGGCCUACCAAGGCGACGACGGGUAGCCGGCCUGAGAGGGCGACCGGCCACACUGGGACUGAGACACGGCCCAGACUCCUACGGGAGGCAGCAGUGGGGAAUAUUGCGCAAUGGGCGAAAGCCUGACGCAGCGACGCCGCGUGAGGGAUGAAGGCCUUCGGGUUGUAAACCUCUUUCAGCAGGGACGAAGCGAAAGUGCCGGUACCUGCAGAAGAAGCACCGGCUAACUACGUG